CUGCACUCUUCAUGGAAGGUGGAAGGUUUGGGAUAGUUACAGUAUGCAGAGCUGGUAAGAGCUAGCCUGCCUGUCCUCCUGACCACUAUAUUCUGUCCAGUCGCGGUCAGAAAGCUUUUUCCAUCCACUUACUUAUUGAAAUAUUUAGAUUACUAGAGUACUACAGUUCAUAUUUUAUUACAGUCUAUCUCAAUCCCGUACAAGCAUUUUUUUUCAUAACAAGAAUCCACAAGAAACAGAACUUUGUGGGCUUUUGCAAAACAGUAAAUCCAUUUUCAAGGUGAAGUUGCCUUCUCAAAACAUAAGUAAAUUCAUCAAAAGAACAUGACUGCCUGCAAGAACAUUAACACAACCAUACUUAUCUCUCGAGUCCAAGCAGACAAAACAGGAAGUUAAAGUAUUUUAAAAAUCCCAGUAGAUCAACACAUUUUAUUUCUAUUUCUAUUUUUUGGUCACUAAAUCCUGAUGAUUAAAAUUGGAAGCACAACUAUCUAAAGGUGUGGAAUGAUGGGCAAAUAUUUCACCAAACAAUUUCAUACACAGGAAAUCAAAUAUAAUUCCUGGUAAAAACAUUGAAAAAAAUAAGCACAUUGUGUGCAGGACUCAUUCAUCGGUAUCAUCACAAUCCAAUUCCAUGUAUUCAAUUCAAAAGUUGGUUCGCUGAUAGUUUAAAAAAAACUUUCCAUAGCUACACAGAAACACAAUUCACAAUAGAACAUGGAAAAGUGAAUACAAUGGAGAAACACUACUGAUAUGAACCUAUAAGUCUAAAUCCACACCAAAGCAAAGCUCUAUACUGGAAGGUCACAAUGUGGGAGAUGAAAAGGAACCCAACUUAAUUGUUUGCGUCUCUGCAUAUCCGCAAUACUGCAAAAAAAAAAUCUAAAUCAUAACAAUUAGACAGUCCCCAUUGUCUAGAUCUUCCCAUAUAUUUUACAUAGUAUCACACUGAUGGGAUGAUUUAGAAUUUUGCCCAGUAGUAUUUACUGAUUGCCGGGAAAUUUCACACAUUUCUCUUCUGAUGAAAACAAUGUGUUAAUAGUCCAUGAACGGGUACUAAGGCAAGAAAAUGAUCAGAAGUUCUGUAAAUGUACACUGUAAUGUGAACGCAACAUGUUAAGUGUUGGUCCCAUGUUUCAUGAGCUGAAAUAAAAGAUCCCAGAAGUGUUCCACACACACAAGGUUAUUUCUCUCAAAUGUUGAGCACAUAUUUUUUUACAACCCUAUUAGUGAGCAUUUCUCCUUUGCCAAGAUAAUCCAUCCACCUGACAGGUGUGACAUAUGUAGAAGCUGAUUAAACAUCAUUACUUUGAUUAAACAUCAUUACACAGGUGCACCUUGUGCUGUGAACAAUAAAAGGCCACUCUAAAAUUUAAUUUUUUGUUUUGAGGGAGCGUGCAAUUGCCAUGCUGAGUGCAGGAAUGUCCACCAGAGCUUUGCCAGAUAAUUUAAUGUUAAUUUCUUUUACCAUCAAAUCAAAUGUUAUUUGUCACAUGCACCGAAUACAACAGGUGUAGAUCUUACCGUGAAAUGCUAACUUACAAGCCCUUCACCAACAAUGCAGUUCAAGAAAUAGAGUUAAGAAAAUAUUUACUAAAUAAACUAAAGGAAAAAAUGUAAUAAAAGUAACAAUAAAAUAACAAUAACGAGGCUAUAUACAGGGGGUACCGGUACCAAGUCAAUGUGCAGGGGUACAGGUUAGUCGAGGUAAUUUGUACAUGUAGGUAGGGGUAAAGUGACUAUGCAUAGAUAAUAAACAGUGAGUAGCAGCAGUGUAAAAACAAAAGGGGGGAGUCAAUGCAAAUAGUCAGGGUGACCAUUUAAUUAAUUGUUCAGCAGUCUUGUGGCUUGGGGAUAGAAGCUGUUAAUUAAGGAGCCUUUUGGACCUAGACUUGGAGCUCCGGAACCGCUUGCCGUGCAGUAGCAGAGAGAACAGUCUAUGACUUGGGUGACUGGAGUCUUUGACAAUUUUUUGGGCCUUCCUCAGACACUGCCUAGCAUAUAGGUCUUGGAUGGCAGGAAGCUUGGUCCCAGUGAUGUACUGGGCGUACGCACUACCCCCUGUAGCGCCUUAUGGUGGGAGGCCGAGCAGUUGCCAUACCAGGAUGUGAUAGAACCGGUCAGGAUGCUCUCGAUGGUGUAGCUGUAGAACUUUUUGAGGAUCUGGGACCCAUGACAAAUCUUUUUUGAGGGGGAAAGGUUUUGUUGUGCCCUCUUCAGGACUGUGUUGAUGUGUUUGGACCAUGUUAGUUUGUUGGUGAUGUGGACAACAAGGAACAUGAAACUCUCGACCUGCUCCACUACAGCCCAUUCGAUGUGAAUGGUGGCAUGUUCGGCCCUCCUUUUCCUGUCGUCCACAAUCAUCUCCUCUGUCUUGCUCACAGUGAGGGAAAGUUUGUUGUCCUGGCCUAUAGGCUGUCUCAUCAUUGUCGGUGAUCAGACCUACCACUGUUGUGCAAACUUAAUGAUGGUGUUGGAGUCGGGUGUGAACAGGGAGUACAGAAGGCGACUACCACAAGCCGCCGUCAACGUGGUUUUAGAGGAUUGGGCACUACGUCCAACUGACCUCACAACCGCAGACCACGUGUAUGGUGUCAUGUGGGCGAGCGGUUUGCUGAUGGCAACAUUGUGAACAGAGUGCCCCAUGGUGGCAGUGGGGUUAUGGUAUGGCAGGCAUAAGCUACGGACAAUGAACACAAUUGCAUUUUAUCAAUGGCAAUUUGAAUGCACAGAAAUAAGGCCUAUUUUGAGGCCCAUUUUUUAAAGGUAUCUUUGACCAACAGAUACAAAUCUGUAUUCGCAGUCAUUUAAAAUCCAUAGAUUAGGGCCUAAUGAAUGCAUUUAAAUUGACUGAUUUCCUCAUAUGAACUGUAACUCAGACAAUGCAAAUAGUCCAGGUAACCAUUUGGUUGUUCAGGAGUCUUAUGGCUUGUUUGGUCCAAUCUAGUUGGUUGUUGAUGUGGACACCCAAGAACUUGAAGCUCUCAACCUGCUCCACUACAGCCCCGUCGAUGAGAAUAGGGGCGUGCUCGGUGCUCCUUUUCCUGUAGUCCACAAUCAUCUCCUUAGUCUUGGUUACGUUGAAGGAUAGGUUGUUAUUCUGGCACCACCCGGCCAGGUCUCUGACCUCCUCUCUAUAGGCUGUCUCGUCGUUGUCGGUGAUCAGGCCUACCACUGUUGUGUCGUCAGCAAACUUAAUGAUGGUGUUGGAGUCGUGCCUGGCCAUGCAGUCGUGGGUGAACAGGGAGUACAGGAGGGGACUGAGCACUUACCCCUGGGGAGCUCCAGUGUUGAGGAUCAGCGUGGCAGAUGUGUUGCUACCUACCCUCACCACCUGGGGGCGGCCAGUCAGGAUGUCCAGGAUCCAGUUGCAGAGGGAGGUGUUUAGUUCCAGGAUCCUUAGCUUGGUGAUGAGCUUUGAGGGUACUAUGGUGUUGAACGCUGAGCUGUAGUCAAUGAACAGCAUUCUCACAUAGAUGUUCCUUUCGUCCAGGUGGGAAAGGGCAGUGUGGAGUGCAAUAGAGAUUGCAACAUCUGUGGAUCAACCAAUCAUGUUGUAAAGCAAAACAUUAUAAUUAUAAGAUGAGAUUAUCAACAUGAAAUUCAUGAAAUUGUAGGCUACUCCAAAAUAUGAUCGAUAAGUGAUGGAAGGUAUACUUUUGAUUCUUUCCCCUUGGAUACUGCUGUAAGAGUAAGCCUACAACAUAUGAAAACAGUCAUAGAAAUCAUUAAUGUCUUCAAGGAUCUCCUUAUACUCUGCGGUAUCCCGGUCCAGGUGCAUCUCUUUUUCCACCCAUGAAAUGAGCUGUUUUGCUUGAUUCUUGUUGAUUAUCCCCUUCCUGUGGUACGCUUCGACCAGCUCAAUGUAGCCACAUCUGUAGUAGUGCCUUGUUCCUUCAUCAGACAUGUCAAUGUUACCAUCGGUAUAUGGUGCGGCCAAUCCUAGAAUAAGUACAUCGUUUCAAAUAGGGAAAAUUUGAACUUUAAAGUGGCAUUUUACUCAAAAAGCAAUUAUGCAUUUUUAUUUAAAAAUAUGUUUUUCAUUAGUCCAUUUUUGAUGAAAUCCCAAAUUGUCCCACACAUUGAAGGCAUUUAGCUUCAAGUCGCCAGGAAAGCAAGAGCAAGUGUUGAUAACAGUAUUCUAGGAACUAAACAAGUUUUCUAUUAGUCUAGCUCUGAUGCUCCAUUAUUCAAAAUGAUGAUAUUCUGAGACCAUAUCAAUGGUGGACUGGUGAGAAAUAUACUGUAUGCAUAUCUUCGUUUUUUUGUAAAAUACUCCUAAUAUAACAUACAGGCAAACUCAGCGACUAAGACAAACUUAGUGAAAAUGUUACUUUUGUAAGCGACACUAAAGAUCUACAGUGUCUACUGUAAGAUGAGGGAACAGGAAAAGAAUCCAUGUUUUUACCUGCGUCUUCUCUGAGCUGCCAGGAAGAUAUAGGAUGACCCAUGAUAAAAGCCUUCCUCAGCAUAAGUGCAGCAUCUCCGUCUACGAUUGUCUCUGCCAGCAGAUGACUAGAACACAGAAAACAUGACAACGGAAAAGGUGAUGACCACACCUAUGUUUUGAUGGCUGAGAAUAACUACGGUGCCAUGUACGACGUUACACAUCAUCAUCAUGGUGGACAUUUUGCUAUUCUGCCUUAACUGGACAAUGUAUUUUCCUUGAUAUCUGCUAAACCAUACACGAUAACACAGAAAAGGUGUUGCCUACUCUAAAAAGCAUUCACCUGGAUACUUGAGAUUCCCUGCUGUUUCCAGUAGUCAGAGCAUCUCUGUGAUCCUGGUAAAGAACCCUCAUGGUUAACAGGUUCUGUCCAGUUGGGUCAUAAUCAAGGCUCAUGAUCAUCUCAUGAAGCCUUGGAUUCACUUGUAGGAGACGAUCCAGUCGUUCAUGGUUUCGGGCUAUCCUCAGAGAAGCCAAUGGUGGAAUAUGGUCUGCCUCUGCCAUGCCAAAGUUACCCAGACCAAACUGAGAUGGUCUACCUUUUUUAACACUUAUGAGGAUAGAACAGGAAGUAUCAGUGGGCUAACAUCAUUCUUGUGUCAAUUCAAAAGGAAUUAUACAAUGUAAUAGGAAUUAUAUCAUGAAAAUAAUGGUAUAAUAGGCCUAUCCAUGCUCUUAUGAAUAAAAAGGCACAUUGUACUCAGUAAAGAAGACUUGAUAGAAAUAUGUAAAAAAUGAUAGACCUACUUUUUAUAAGUGUCAACCACUCCAAGGCCGUAAGCAAUUAUGAUGGUAGUUUCAUUGCUGCUCGGCUGUCCUUCUGUCUUCUUGCUGGCAGCAUUUCCAGUGGGUUCAUUUCCAGAAGCUUCAUUUGACUUUACCUUCACGGAACGUGUUAUUAUGGGACUUCCUGGAUGAUAUGAAGGUUUCUUAUGAAUCGCCUUAAUCAAUAUAAAGCCCCCUACUGCGACUGUUCCCAAUGCUACUGGAAACGCAAGGGGCCCCAAAAACGGUAUCAGACCCAAGGCUGGAAGACCCAUUUCAACUCUUGGUAGCCUACAAUGUCUUGUAGCCCAACUCUGGUUUCUCAGCAAAUGUCCUCUCUGAGUUGAGCUCUUAUACUCUUGACGCAGUUAGAAAUGUUUGCCAGAUGGCACAGAACAGUGGUGGUGCUGUAGAGCAGCAAAUGACCAAUGAGUCAUGAAGUCUAUAAAUAGGCCUCUUUGUUUGUGUUAGAAAAGGCAGGCCAUGGGGAGGAAUGCUCAAAGUUGGAAUUGCUGGAGAAGAGCUCAUAUCCACAUUCUGAACUUAUGUACUUUAAGGGAGAACUUGUAGGAUAGUAAGGGUUUGAACAG
ensembl:lncRNA